GUUUGGUCACCCUUUCCAAAACACAGUGUUCAGUGUUUAAACACUGAACACUAGUGUCCAAAAUUUUAAAAAACGCGUUUGGUCAACCUACUGUGUUUUGGGUUGUUUGAAAAUUGUUGCUCCAAAAACCAUGUUUGAACAGCGUGUUUUGAAAUCAAGUCGGAGCAGAUUUUAAAACAACAAAAUUGUUUUCCAGUGGCACUUCGGUAAUAAAAAUGAGAUUCAAACGGGGCCCACCUGGUCAGUUUUUUUUGGUCAUUUGUCUCCUCUCAUUACUCUCGUCUCUUCUCACGCCCCAAAUCCUCUCUACUGUUACAAAGAUCACACAGUUGCAGUGAACCCGGAACUCUCCACCCACCUCCAUACCUCCCUUCACCCAGUGCCAUUCCACCUCACCCCUCAUGGGCCCAACGCCAUUAAUCAACCGAACCGAAGGUCACGCGUCUUCUACACACACUGCAUCACCAAUAACCCCUAUCAAUCACAGUAAUCCCUUUCUCACAAUUAAUUCGUCACCUAUGAAGCUCUGUUGUUAAGGAAAAUUGUUGCAUUCUCACACAGUCCGAAGGGCUUUCAGAUGGAACCCUUGCUCUCAUCCUCAUCCACCUCUCUCAUCCAUUACAGAGCAUCUGCUUCCUCCUCGACUUCGUCCUCUGCUUCCUCCCCUCACUGUGUUCCCUUACUGGUCAAUCAUAAAUUCAAGGAGUUAAAGAAAAAGGGGCUGAGAUAGUAUGAUCUGUUGGGGAGGCUUUUCAAUUCAAACACAACCACAGGUUUCCUCCAAAUUUCAUCUGCCAACCAGCUCCCAACAAUGACGAAGAGAGAGAGCUGGAUGCAGCCUUCCUAUCAUCGGGAGUGCAUGUCAACUUCAAUACCGAUAGUCUGGAUGAUGUGGAGGAGCUGCCCACACCAAGUGAAGCCCAAAGCCAGAGGCAAGCUGAAAAGUGGCCAGCUAAACCAUCCCAGUCAAGCGGAAAAAGGAAGAAAGGGCACUCCCUUAAAAGCAUGACUGAAGCUGUUUGGGGGUUUACUGAAAUGAGGAACCGGAGGGGAAAAAGGUCCACUAAAACUGGAAACUCUGCUGUGGGGGAUGAUAGUGAGUCAGUUACAGAAGCUGUAAUACUGCUCAACUAGUACACUAAUGUGGAUCAUGUCACAUAUUGCAAGGUCGUGCAGGAGCUUCAUAACUUCAAGAGUAGAGCCGUUUUUUUUGCUAUGACGGGCGAUAGGAGAAGGGCUUGGAUUGAGUUCAUUGGGGGUGGAUUGCAGUAGUUGUGGGGGUGGUUGAGAAUGUGCGCUGUUAUAAGGGCUAGUAGGAACUUAAUUAGUUUAGUUAUUUUGGUUUAAUGUGAAUAGGCAAACUCUGUAUUAUGUUUAUAUUUUGGACAAUGUGUGCAUGCUACCUUCCUUUAUUAUUACUAUAUAAUGCUUUGAACUUCUAUGCAAGUUAUGUAAGAAAUAUGGGAUUGCUUUGUUUUAGGCUUUGAACU